UGUCGGGUAAGUUCCGACCCGCACGAAAGGCGCAACGAUCUGGGCACUGUCUCAACGAGAGACUCGGUGAAAUUAUAGUACCUGUGAAGAUGCAGGUUACCCGCGACAGGACGGAAAGACCCCGUGGAGCUUUACUGCAACCUGAUAUGGAAUGUUUGUACCGCUUGUACAGGAUAGGUAGGAGCCGAAGAGACGUGUGCGCUAGCAUACGAGGAGGCAAUGGUGGGAUACUACCCUGGCUGUAUGACCAUUCUAACCCGCCACGCUUAGCGCGUGGGGAGACAGUGUCAGGUGGGCAGUUUGACUGGGGCGGUCGCCUCCUAAAGAGUAACGGAGGCGCCCAAAGGUUCCCUCAGAAUGGAUGGAAAUCAUUCGCAGAGUGUAAAGGCACAAGGGAGCUUGACUGCGAGACUGACAAGUCGAGCAGGGACGAAAGUCGGGCUUAGUGAUCCGGUGGUUCCGCAUGGAAGGGCCAUCGCUCAACGGAUAAAAGCUACCCCGGGGAUAACAGGCUUAUCUCCCCCAAGAGUCCACAUCGACGGGGAGGUUUGGCACCUCGAUGUCGGCUCGUCGCAUCCUGGGGCUGUAGUCGGUCCCAAGGGUUGGGCUGUUCGCCCAUUAAAGCGGCACGCGAGCUGGGUUCAGAACGUCGUGAGACAGUUCGGUCCCUAUCCGUCGCGGGCGCAGGAAAUUUGAGAGGAGCUGUCCUUAGUACGAGAGGACCGGGAUGGACACACCGCUGGUGUACCAGUUGUUCCGCCAGGAGCAUCGCUGGGUAGCUAUGUGUGGCAGGGAUAAACGCUGAAAGCAUCUAAGCGUGAAGCCCCCCUCAAGAUGAGAUUUCCCAUUUCUUCGGAAAGUAAGAUCCCUGAAAGAUGAUCAGGUAGAUAGGUUUGGAGUGGAAGUGUAGCGAUACAUGGAGCGGACAAAUACUAAUCGAUCGAGGACUUAACCAAAAA
rnacentral:rRNA from 1 species